rnacentral:rRNA from 1 species
AUUGAACGCUGGCGGAAUGCUUUACACAUGCAAGUCGAACGGCAGCACGGGGGCAGCCCUGGUGGCGAGCGGCGAACGGGUGAGUAAUACAUCGGAACGUGCCCGGUCGUGGGGGAUAACGUAGCGAAAGUUACGCUAAUACCGCAUACGAUCUGAGGAUGAAAGCGGGGGACCUUCGGGCCUCGCGCGAUCGGAGCGGCCGAUGUCAGAUUAGGUAGUUGGUGGGGUAAAGGCCUACCAAGCCGACGAUCUGUAGCUGGUCUGAGAGGACGACCAGCCACACUGGGACUGAGACACGGCCCAGACUCCUACGGGAGGCAGCAGAGGGGAAUUUUGGACAAUGGGCGCAAGCCUGAUCCAGCCAUUCCGCGUGCAGGACGAAGGCCUUCGGGUUGUAAACUGCUUUUGUACGGAACGAAAAGGCUCUGGCUAAUACCUGGGGCUCAUGACGGUACCGUAAGAAUAAGCACCGGCUAACUACGUG